rnacentral:rRNA from 1 species
CCUACGGGUGGCAGCAGUGGGGAAUAUUGCACAAUGGGCGAAACCCUGAUCCAGCGACGCCGCGUGAGUGAAGAAGUAAUUCGUUAUGUAAAGCUCUAUCUGCUUGGAAGACAAUGACGGUACCUGAGUAAGAAGCCCCGGCUAACUACGUGCCAGCAGCCGCGGUAAUACGUAGGGGGCAAGCGUUAUCUGGCUUUACGGGGUGUAAAGGGAGCGUAGAUGGCAGUGCAAGUCUGGAGUGAAAGGCGGGGGGUCAACCCCCGGACUGCUCUGGAAACUGUACGGCGUGAGGGGAAGAGAGGUAGGUGGAAUUCCUAGUGGAGCGGUGAAAUGCGUAGAUAGUAGGAAGAACACCAGUGGCGAAGGCGGCUUACUGGACUGUAACUGACGUUGAGGCUCGGAAGCGUGGGGAGCAAACAGGAUUAGAUACCCCAGUAGUC